rnacentral:rRNA from 1 species
UACGUAGGGAGCAAGCGUUGUCCGGAAUCAUUGGGCGUAAAGCACGCGUAGGUGGCCCCGUAAGUCCGCUGUGAAAGUCAAAGGCUCAACCUUUGAAAGCCGGUGGAUACUGUGGGACUAGAGUACGGAAGAGGCGAGUGGAAUUCCUGGUGUAGCGGUGGAAUGCGCAGAUAUCAGGAGGAACACCAAUAGCGAAGGCAGCUCGCUGGGACGUUACUGACACUGAGGCGCGAAAGCGUGGGGAGCGAACAGG